rnacentral:rRNA from 1 species
GACAGAGGAGCCAAGCGUUGUCCGGAUUGACUGGGCGUAAAGCGCACGCAGGCGGCUCGGCGCGUGGGGUGUGAAAGCUGGCGGCUUAACUGCCAGACGCCAUCCCAUACGGCUGGGCUCGAGCCCUGCAGAGGUCCAUGGAAUUGCCGGUGUAGUGGUGAAAUGCGUAGAGAUCGGCAGGAAUACCAGUGGCGAAGGCGGCUUCCUGGCCUGUUCUUGACGCUGAGGCGCGAAAGCUAGGGUAGCAAACGGG